UCCACAAUUGAGCUGUAGAAAUCAGAAUCUUCAUAAAAAUACAGUUAUUAUUUCAGGAUUGCCCUAAAGAUAUUUAUUUUUGUAGCAUUGUCUUGAAACAGCACGAUUUCAGUUUGAACAUAAGUAAAUCAAGACCAAAUUCCGAAUAUUAGAAAGAAGUAGAAGAUUUCAGCAACUGAAAUUGACAGAAUGCUUAGGGACCCCUUCUGUUUCACAAUUGAGCUGUAGAAAUCAAAAUCAUCAUGAAAAUACAGUUAUUAUUUCAGGAUUUUUUGAAUAUCCUAUUUUACGGCCCUUCUUCUUCCACUGCAUUAACAUCUAGGAUAAUAACACUAGAAAAUGAACAAAUUGCAAACAAUGCUAAAGAUUCAUAUCAUAAACAAAUUAAAUAUGUUGACUGAAGUGUCCAAUUUUCUAAAUGGAUAAAAAGUCAAGGACCUCCUAAAGAAAUCCCCACAUCAAUAAAUCCAUACUUCAAUAAAAAAUAUCUUCCUUUACACCUUAAUGGUGAAAUCUAUUCAAAGGAGGACUAAUUCUAAAAUCCUUACCGGGAAAUGAAACACUGCUGAAAAUUAAACACAUCCAAGGCAUCAUGGUGAAUUAAAGGCAUCAUGGUGACUUUGGUGCACAAUUUUUCUCAGGGGUGAUGUAUAUAUGUGUGUGUGUGUAUGCCGAAAGACCUGUUUGAACAAGUAAUCAGAGUUCACAAGAUUAAAACGCAAUUAAAUCAAUUAAAAAGAAGAUAAAAAACCCCCAUUUUAAUUGGUAUGGAUAGCAUUUCAUUGGCAUGGAUAGCAUUUGAAGGUCAUCAUAGACAUCUAUUCUUCAAUCAGCAAAAACCUUCCUGAACGAAGCACUCAACUUGGCCUCUGACUAUUACAACAUCACAACUAAUGAUAGAAACAUCAUUGCACACAAAAAGUAACAUUGGAAAAAGAAAAACAACACCACAUUUGAUGUUACAAUGGACAGCUAUGACGGCAAAAAUAUGGAAGCUGGUUUGAAGCUUCCUGUUUUUUAACUAUAAGACCUUGAUACAGCAUAUGACUAUACACUUACAUGACAAAGUAUUAGGACAAUGAAUAACAAAAUGGCGGCUCCAAAACUAGCAUUCUAACAAUAUCAAUGUGUUAUUUUCAAUGCCAAAAACACAAAAGCAGCAAGAAGAAGAAUGCGAAGUAAUAAAAUAUUUGGGUCUAACGAGUCAUUUGUUUGCUGAAACUACAAGAAAAUUUGGUUGCAGUAAGUCUACAACACAAAUUAUUUACAAGAACAAUAAGUUAACAAUUGAUGUCCCAGGCAAGUACAGAAACAAAUGAAGAUUCUUUGCAUAGACCAUUCAUUUUUAAGCAAGAUAAUAAAUCUAGCUAUUAGUACAUAGGGCACUUGUCAAAACAUUAGUACAUAGGGCAUUUAUGAUCUGCUCGAAAUCUAAACUGCACGCUGAACUGGAAAAACUCAAAACGAUCUUCUUGGACAACGGCUAUCCUGAAGACGUCAUUUUAUCUUAUACUAAGGAGAAGAUCGCAAGUUUUUCGGCUGUUCAAAAGUUUGGUCCGCAAAAGUGCCCAGUUUAUUUGAAACUACCAUGGAUUGGUAACACUUCCUUGCGAUUCGAGAGUCAAAUUAGGCAAGCCAUAACCAAUUGUUUCUUUGCUGUCAAUCCUCGGAUUGUUUACAGCACUAGGAGAGCCCUUCCAUCCAUUCAAAAGGAUUGCGUCCCUACCAAACAAAAAAGUUCCGUCAUUUAUGAAUUUACGUGCCAGUGUGAUUCUGGCUACGUAGGGCGCACAACCCAAAGAUUGGGGGAUAGGAUAAAACAGCAUGUUCCUUCCAACAUACGAAACAAAACUGCCCCUCAAAGAGAACAGCCUCCUCGAUCUUGUAGGUCUAGAAACACUGUUAAAACAAGUGAUUCUGCCAUUGGUCAACAUCUUUUAGACAACCCAGAUUGUGCAAAACUCUAUAAUGACGACAUGUUUCGGAUAAUUGGCAGAGCCCGGUCGUCCUUCCAUCUAGCAGUUUUGGAGUCAAUCUACAUAAAAACGAAAAAGCCGCCAUUGUGUAGACAAAAGGAGUUCGUUUUCUCUCUUGGACUCCAUUGGUAAUUUUUCUUUAGGCUCGCGGCACUGAUUGGUCAACUAUACCGGUCUUGUGCUUGCGUUUUUCUGAUUGGCCUAUUUCGAUCCACAACUGGGUAUAUAUUUUUCAAACAUGUUUUUCGGAACCUAUUCUGACGUUUUAUGCUCUGAGGAGUGUCAGACGAAAAAGCUUUAAGUAUGUUGUAAAAUGUUUGCUUUUUUCAAAGCCAUUUUCAAAUUCUGUACCGCAAAAAAAUUGUUCAAAUCUAGCUAUGUUGCAAUUGUGACAACAAUUUUUAAAAUAAGCCUUGAUUCAAUUGGAAUUUUAAAAAUAAGCCAAGGAUAGAUGGGAAGGCCAAUAAGCAAUAAAUCCAGUCAUAUUGACUCUUGCAAAUCAAUCAAAAUAUUUUCCCUGGUUGUUGUGCUUGGCAAGAUUUGUAUUGGAACCGAUUGUUUCCUCAGUACAGUUGUUUAUUCAGAAAUUGACACUGGCUGCCACAUCCUAAAAAAUCACAACUUGCGUUGCUUUGCUGGGAAAGACUUUGGCUAAAAGGUUGCUCUUUAUAGCUAUUGUAGGGGUUUCCCUUGAAAGUCUUCCCAACCUUGUUUGAUUCUUCAGCUUCCUCUAGGUGCUUAUUGAAAUCGUCACCAAAAAGGUAGGGACCAUGUGGGAUUUCAGAAAUGGAGGAGAAAAGCGCUUGAUACUCCUGUCUUUGAAGGGGCUCCAUAUUGCUUUGUCUAAGAGACGAGAUAUUUCCAGUCAGGUGACCUAGCAGUUCAAUUGCAUCCAAUGACAGGGAGACAUGUUGUACCUUUGUUGACCUUCAUAGGAUGCAGUGACGUACAGUUAGCUGGUUUUUGUAUUUAUUGAGAUUUUUUGUAUUGGUUAGCGUCUUUUCCCAACGCGUUUUAAUUAUCUUGGCCAAUUUAUCAUUUACCUUAGUGCAGAGAUAGUCAGAGGUUUCAAGAGCUUUGUUUAAGCCAUCAAGAAGUUGAGAUGUGUCUGGUUCUGCUGAAGUUGAUGGCCCUGUCGGCUCACUUUGUUUAUUGGCCUUAGUUUUUUCUAAUAGAUCUUGGGCAUCACCCAGAAGUGAAUCAGUAUGGUCAUCUGCAUGAAUGCUAAGGUGUUCAUCAAUGUUAUAAUCAUUUGUAACAUUACACUUUUAUGGUGGCUUGGAUGCGUCAGGGUCUGAUAAAUGUAGUUUAUUGUUUGGGUUUACUCUGGAGGACGAUGAAGCGAAAUGCCUAGUGGCAAAGUAAGACGUCUGGUGGACAUGAGGCUCAUUCCGGUCGAAAUGUGAUGAUCAGGCUGGUGGCCAAUUGCCAAACUAGCAUGAAAAUUGAUAGAGAAGAGCCGCCAUGUUACCCAUAUUUGUAGUUAUCCCUUAAAAAAGUUUUGUUAAAAGAUGGUCCUCAGACCCCUUCCAUCCUCAGACACAGUUUUGUUCUCUGACUCUCACAUUUCUUGAGAACUAUGCAUCAAAAUUUAAAUUUUUGAUUUUUCCCAAAUCAACUAGAAAUUGAAAUAUUGUAAACUUGCCAAUCUUUCACAAAUUUGGAAGAUUGUGAAAUGCAUUGUGAUGACUCGCAGCAGAGUCCGCAAUGUCUUGUAGCGCAUGCGCCGGCAUCUCAUUUGAUAACAUAGUGAUGUAGCUGAUUAUAGAGGAGAAUUUCUUGUAGAGGCAAAGAAUCCUCCUCCAAUUUCCAUUUUUGUCAUCAUUCAACGCGAAGAGCACUAAAAUAAGUCCACACUUUGAACAUCGAGCCAGGUGAUCUUCUGGAAGUUGAUUGCUCUGUAUGUUUGCAUCCUCGGUGUUUUCAUUCAUACCAGAAGAACACUGGGGAAUCACAUUUUAAAUUUGCUGCUAACUGCUUCUUCACUUUUAUCCCUCCCUGCAUCUUCCAAAUAACUUUAGAUGACUUCUUCAAAUUUUUUGACUUUUUAUAACAUUUUUCCCAAUGCGAGCAUUUGUUCCCUUAAUGAGACUAGGUUCUGAUGUACUUUGCCAUACUCUUUGCAUUUCCAGUUAUCCUCUUGAGAGUUUCAGUCAGCAGCGAUAGUUAGCAGAGCAUUACUAUCUACAGUUAUAUCAAUAAUUAAAUCUAUAAUAUCCUAUGCCAGUCCAAGGUUGUUAACAUUUUCAUUCAAGGUCUUCCUUUACUUCUUCUUAGGCAGCAAUAGAGAGCCACCUAAGAUCUGUGAAUGUUCAUUGAAAACCAAAAGAUGCAUGUAUGUCCUUUACUGGGUUGAUGGGAUAAUUUUUGACAUUCAGAAAGUUUUGUACUGCAAAUAGAUAUCCCGGUUACAAGCUGACGGGGUAUCAUAAAGAAUGUUCCAUUUAACCUAUGACAUAAAACAUUUAAUUAUGUUUUAACUAAAAUUUUAUCUAUUUCAAAUAGUUGAUAAACAAUGAUUGAUGUCAAACAUGUUCAAAUUUAAAUUUGACACAAAAAAUCUAAAUUCUGCAAAAUGUUUGGUAUUAGGCAGUAAAUCUCACUGAUUCUAUAUCUGCAAAUAUUUGCUCAAAGUUCAUAAGUUCCAUAAGGGCCAUAAGUUCAUUUUUGAGAGAUUUGAGUUACAAGAGGUUUUGCGAAAAGAGUCUCUGAAGAGUGAUGCAUUCUGUUGUGCUAUUGUAUGGAUGACAGUCACGAAACCCAUGAUCUGCGUACACACUGAAAGAAAAAUAGCGAAGUGAAAUAAAUGAGCCAAUAACCCAGUAGGUCAGAGCGACAAGAUUACUUCUCGGGUAUUUGUUCGCUGCGAGUGGAAAGAAAAACAGCAUUUGACAUCAAUUAUUUAAUAUCGCUUAAAUUUCUUACUUAAUGUCCCGACAGCACAUUCAAUACAGCAUCUUGCCAGGAUAAUCUGUAGUUGAAAAUAGUCUUCUCAUUUGUCAAAUUUGCACUUGGGAAUGGACGCAUUAUAUUGGGUUGUAAUGAAUAAGCUUCAUCCACCAAAAUAACCAGAGGCAAAUUCCUUUCAGAUUUUUUCAGUCUUUGAUUUGUCGAUAACUCGAAAAUAUCAUUUUGUAAACGUCUGUAGAAACUAGAUUCUCGUCACUUUGCUUUCCUCUAGCCCCUACAUUUAUAGCUAGGAAUCGACACUGCAUCUGCCAAACCCUGGAGAAUGAUAGAAAUAUACUGCUUAUAAUUGUAGAAAAGUGAACCAGAUUUUGAGAGGCAUACUUAAUUCGGAUAUGUUUUCCAUCAAUGCAGCCAAAGCAGUUUGGAAAGCUCAUCUUUUAUAAAAUUUCUGAACGACAUCCAAAAAAUCUUAUAAUACUGGCAUAUGUUUAAAUGUUCUCAGAAACUUGCUUCACAACUGACAAAACGGUUGACGUUCCCAUCCUGAAUUUAUAUCCAAGCGAAUGCCACAAACCUGAAAAAAUGUAGAGUAUAAAUAUCUAUGGUUGGCCUAAUUAAGAUUUUUCUGUUCUCUGAGUUGUAAGGGGGUGGGGGACAUUUGAACUGUAUCAGUUGAAAAAUAUUUUGCGAAAAGAAAAUUCGAAGGUUUGCAAGAUACUUUCAGGAGAGAGCUGGAAAAGGCACUCAAAAGAAACUCUGGUGAUGCUGGUUUUCCACCAGACCAAUAUGAAAGUAUGUGGCCUCAGUCCUUGUUUUUCCCGAAAGAUCAAAUGGUAGGAAGAGCUUCUUCAGGAAACGUCUCAACACCCUACUUUAAAAAGUCCAAUUGACCUCAGUGAUGACCAAGAAUCCAUUGACAAUGAAGCCUCACUGCUAGAAGAUCACAGAGAUGGGAGCUACUCGACAUUGUCAACCCCUGGCUCUUCAAGUCUUUCACGGCAGUCAAAUUGGUGUGCGAUGCGUGUCAACAGUAUUAGAAACGUAUUUUGGAUGCUCCAGAAAGUGGCAUUUUAGUUCGAUAUUACUUCGUUUUUCUUUAUGAAGAUGCCUAUUCAAGAACAAAUUGCUGAUUUACCGGAAAAGGAGUGAAUCAAUGAAGCAAUCAACAAGAUAGAAAAAAAAUUUGAUUUAAAAUGUCAAGAAUAUGACCAAAUAAAUGAAAAUCUUGAGGAAAGGGUUGACCAACUGGAGGGUCUUGUGAAAGUUAGUAAGCAAUUUGAAGCAAGAAUUGAUUGACAGCGAACGGUAUAGUCAUGAAUGUCCCUGAGAAUCAAUGGUGUCCAAAUGCAAAGCUGCAACGCCAAGGAAGACUGUGUGGAAAAGGUUCACGAGCUAAUCAAGGAGACAGGUAUCGAUUUGGGUGUAAGGAAUGGAACUUCUGCAUUUUUGAGGAUGGGAUAAAAGUAGUCAAGAAAGCAGUAUGAAUCUGAUUUCUUAUUGAAGAUAGAGGUAGAAAUAGAGUUGUUUUUGAUGGUGAGCAGGAUGUCAAAAAAGGGUACACUGUACUAGGAGAUGGUGUGUGUGAAUUGACGCACUGGAUGGAAAUUCCUAGUGUAGUUGAUGAAAUUUUGUACACAUGCAAGUGGUAAUGACGUAGCUCCCACAAUAUCAUAAAUGUAUCUCCUGAAUAGGCAAGAGAAAGGACCAUCAUGUGAACUGUAGAUCAAGUGUGCCUGGUAUCCAACAAAAAGGCAUGCAUAGCUAGGACCAAGAUUACUUCCCAUAGCGAUAUAAGUUGUUUGAAGGUGAAAAUCGCCAUUGAACGAAAUGCAUUCGUAGUUAACACAAGCUUGGCUAAACAAAGAAGAGUGUUGGUAGGUGGGUUUUGUUUAGGGCGUUGAUCGAGAAAAAACUUUAGUGCUUCUAAUCCAUCAGCAUGAGAAAUGCAUGUAUAAAGGGAUUAAUGUCGAUUGUAAAUAAAUAUCUGUUGGGGCCUUCAAAUUUAAAAUCCUUGAAAAGAAGCAGGUCAUGGGAUGUAUCUUUGACAAACGUAGGCAGUUGUUGGUUGAUGGGUGUAAAUAUGCCAUCAGAGUAGGCUGCAAUUUGUGAUGUUGGACAGGAGACGGCUGAUACAAUAGGUCGGCCAGGGUUAUCAGGUUUGUGUAUCUUUGGGAGCAUAUAGAAAUCAGAUCCACGGGGAUGUUGAAAAUAUAAUUUAGUAGCGUUUUCAGGAAGGUUGCCAAGAUUGAUUUUUUCUUUAAUGAUGUUGAUGACGGUUUUGUUGAAAGAUUUAGUAGAAUUGGCAGUUUGUUUGUCAUAGCAUGACUUUUUGAGUUGUGAACUGCCUUCUUGAAAAUAUAAAUCUUUACGCCAAUCAACAAUAGGACCACCUUUGUCUGCUGGCUUAAUAACAAUAUCAUCAUUUGAUUUAAGAUGUUUCAAGGCUUGCCAUUCCGCCUCUAGUAAGGUUGGAUGUUUUAUGCCAAGCUUUGAAAUUUACUUGAGAAAUUUGAUGUCUGCAUGUGUCUAUGUAAAGAUCCAGAGCUUUAAAUUGGCCAGGUUGUGGCCACUUUUUUUAGUUCUAUCUUCGCUUUUCAAUUUUACUUGAUAGCGGGCGAACAUUACAUCAUCAUUACAUUUACAUUUAACAACCCUUUUGGGUCAUACAAAUGUCUGCCCAGUCAACUACAAAAUUAAAAUUUACUGAGAUGAUUUCGUCAUAGGUUGUAAAAGGUAUCCGAAUUUGCCUGCAUCACAAUACUGUAUGGCAGGCUAUUCCAUACAGAAACGAUUGAAUGAAAAAAUGAAAACCUAACAGCAUCAACCCUUCCAAAUUUAAGCAUGAUCUUCAAUGAGUUAGAGUUCCUUGUCAUUGAACAACUUGCAGGGGAAAAGAAAACGUUAGGGUCCAAAGCAACCUGAUUUGUAAACAUUUUAUGAACAUAUUUCAGUUGCAAUAGUAAUCUACGUGAUUCAAGUGCCCCUAAUCAUGCCAUUGGCCAUAAACAGAGAAUGCCAGGUCAUAGAAAGUUGAAAUUCACAAUAUAAAGACAGUCUGAUAUACUAAACAAUAUUUGAUAGAGACCCAAUUCAUAUUUUGCCCCUAAGUUUUAUUGUUAGACUUGGUAGUAAGGUCCAGUUAUCUAAUUGUACCAUUGGCCAUAAAUGUGAAGCGCCAGGUCAUGGAAAUUCACAAUGUAAAGGCAGUUUGAUAUGUAUAUAGUUAUAUUUCUUGAAUAUCGCUCAACAUCUGUGGUUGUUGUGACGACACAGUUGUUAAGAUUGGCUUUUUAACAGAAGCAACAGCAACUAAAAAGUUUUCAGAGUGACUGCUACCAACAUCAAAUUGACUGAAGAAUCCUGUUAAUAUAAGAGUAUGGUGAAAUGUUUUAAGAAGUUUUUCAAGCAGUCCUGAAAGUGGCUACUAAUUUGAUGGGAAGAGGAAUAACUAGAACAUUCAAAGGCCUUUGGAAAACCACAAAGCCUAAGUGUUUUAUAAAAUAAGCUGAAAUUAUGGCCUUGUGAAAAGGAAACUUAUGGAAACUAGUAAUCUUGUGAAAAAAGGAGAGGGAACUAAACCUUAAUAGAAGUAAAAACGUUACAAGACUAUUGAGAGCAAAUAUUAUACUGAUUUUCCUUUGCGCCAAGGGAAUUCUCGUUUUCUGCCAUUGACAUAUAUUGGAACAAAUACCAGUUUGAUUGUUUGGCAGAGUUAAAGGAUCAGAAUAAACAACUUGUGAUCACUGCAGAUGCCAGACAAAACAGCAUGGCCAAUAAUGAAAAAUUUUGAAUUUAUUUUUCUUGUUGCCAUAAUUCCUGAAUAAUCAGGUAGGUGAAAGUAAACCCUAUAGAUUAAACCACUCUUUAUCAUUUAUAUUAUAUAAUAUUAUUUUAUGCAUUAUUUGAACAAAGGUGGAGUGAAAGUAGCACAAUAUGCGACCAUACUAUGUCUUAAUACAAAUUGGUUAUCUUAAGCAGUCUAACAGGAGAAAGGUAUUGGCAAUAGUUAUGGUUUUUUGAUUUGGAAAGUUCAUUUUAUCAAUUCAUAAUAGAGUUAAGUGAGAUUCGAACCAUGUUUUCACACAAUACGCUGAAACUUCAGGUUAUUACUAGUUUGAUACACUCUUUAGAAAAGAUCAAUUAGCAUUUAUAAUGCUGAUAAUAACCUUUUUGUCUCGGCAUAAUCAUGUUGGCAACAGUAAGGAACUAGAAUUUACUGGAUUCAAAAACUGUUUAUUAUGGAUUUUCAAAAGUGCUCUCUACAGUUCUACCAUUGUUUGGGAUCGUCAUGGUUAGAUUAUUAAACAGGAUUGGAGAAGAGCAACCAGAUAGACAAGGAAUUUUGCAUAACAAUCCAGCAAACUGGGUAACCGAAGUUUUUAAGGUUUAAAUCAUAAGAGUAAGGGCCACUGAUCAUUUUAAGCCCUGGGAACAUUCUGGCAAAUGACCAGAAGUUGCGUUUUCAGGGGCAUGAAAAAUGCACGGUCGGCAAAAUUUCAACUUUCGAAUUUUUCAAAUCUGAUGAUACUAUCGGAAAGAACAUGAAAAAUUAAGCAAAAGAUUUAAAAAGAGCAAUGUAAUCUGACCUAAACCAAUAAGUUAUGUCUGUGUAAACUUUUCGUUUUGUCAAACAACUUGCUUUCUUGAGUUUCCUGAUAGUUUAGACGCAAGGUAGUAGAAUUGUGCAUGUUAUGAAAAUAGCAUGAAGUUUGGUAGAAGUACACAAUCCGAUAUGCUGAAUAAGAUGAAGUUCAUAUCAAGCUUCAAAAAAGUCCCCAAAGGCUAUUUUUGGACAAGGGUACUGGUACCCAGUUCUCUUUCUGGUAUAGCACUACAACGUUCUGAACAUUGCAAGUUAUAAAGCUGAAACUUUUUUCUGACGUUAUUUAACGUGCUGGAUAAAAUGGGAUACAAAAAAGCUUCAAAAAUUUCACAAAAGCAAUUUUUAAACUAUGGUUCUUGUGCCCAGUCCUAUAUUGGGUCUUGCACUGUAACUUUGUAACUAUUCAAGUUGUAUAACUGAAACUUGGUUUCCUAACGUAAUCUGAAGUGCUAGAUAAAGUGAAAUGUAGACCUAGUUUUAAAGCUUCACCAAAGGCUUUAUUUAGACUGAGGUACUUAAACCUAGUCCAUUGCUGGCUAAUGAGGUACUUAAUGACUAUAAAGCAUGUAAUUGUAAGUUUAGUCAGAGAUCCUCAGUACCUAAGGUGGAAUUUUCAGGCACUUUUCUGGAGAAGGCCACCGGGGGUUUCUGCAGGAUAUAAGGGUUAGUAUAAUUGAUAGGAUUAUUGGGGGAAUAGGAUGCGAGAAAGCUUCUGGCAGUAUAAGCUAAACAGUUUUUCUCCUAAGGGCAUAAACAGUAGGCAUGUUGAUUUCAGGCUAUUUCUUUGCAUACAUUCUUUUUCCUUUUUAUUAUUUUUCGUCUCUUUUUUUCCUUCUGCCACUAGCACUUUUUUUAUGUUCUUUGCGUAUCUAUUAUUCUCCUUAGACAGGUGCUUUUUUCUGCUACACAUAUCAUUUGAAGCCUCUGUGAGUCUUGCAUUACCGCCUGCUUUAGCAGCACCUUCUCCUGGGCUUUCUUUUAACCCUCCAAUUGAGUUACACUUUUAACAAUAACUACUGUUACAGGAAAUUUUCCUUUAACCUCCUCACUGCAUACACUUUAUUGUACCAACACUAUUGUAUUUGAACAAUAUUUGGCUCUUGAAAGAAUCUGUUUGAUGUUGGCAGGCUCUCGUUUCGGUUAAUAAGGUUGAAUUUGGACAUCGCUUGCUUCAUUUUGGAGCUUGCGUCAAGCAUUGAAAUUGUUUCCUUUAUAACUUUGAAAAUGUUGAAGUUGCGGGGAUUGAAAGUAGCAACAAAGGAUAAUGGCUUGAUGUUCUUCUAAAGGGAUUUUAUUUGCUUGCUGAAUACUUUGCUCGAUGAGAUUUCUGGGAUAGUCUGGCUUUUACAGUGUUGAUUUUAAAUUAAGUAGGUGUGUUCUUUUUAAGUUUCUUUCUCGAUGAUUGUGCAAUAUUGUCGUGCAAGGUUGAAUGGAAUAUUUCUUUUGGUGUGUGGUGUGUGGUGUGUGGUAGGUGGCAAGAUUUAAAUUACCAUACUGUUGGCUAUCCGUGAGUUUCUGGUAAAGAUCUGUUAUGAGUUGGUUGUUUUUAACUAUCUUUACAUCCAGGAAGUUGAUAUUGUUCAAAGACUCAUUAUCGUUCUGAGUGGCACCUCUCUUUUGCCAUUCCAACAAACCAUUGUCUGUUAGGCGCUGGAAGACAGUACAAGCUUCUUGCUAACAUAAAUAGGGGUUGUCCUGUUCCUUCUGUGAUCCUGGAAUGUCUUCUUUGGCCUCUGCCUUUUUCAAAAGCAUCACAAUUAUUCUCCAGAGAGGCAAUGGUGAUGCUUUUUGAUUAAUGUCAGUUGAUGUCAGGCGGAAAAGGAUUGCAAAAAUUCUCUUCUUCAUAAGUAUAAGGCCACGAGUAUUGUCCUUUAUUGCCCUUCCAUAAUAAUAUUUUAAUUUCAAUAUCUUUUCCGUUAUUGCCCUUGCCAGUUAUUGAUUGCUUUAGUGCUUUGCAUUCUUGAACCAGUUAUGAAAUGAUGUUCCCAUUCUCAUGGACAUAUCGUUGCUACACUCUUCCUUACUCAUUUAAAUGUCUUUUUCAUAGACAUACAUCCCCUUUAAGGUGGCAGUAUACUGUAAAUAAUUUUCCAUGCACAUUUUAUUUCAUCUUGAAGAAAAAAAGGGUUCUAUUUAUCGAAACUUAAUACAAAUUUAAAGUUGAAACCAUAAAUCUUUUUCUAUAAUCUGAAAAAAAAAAUUUGGCAAAAAAGGGUGCAUUGUUGUAAUGGAAACAGGGGGCAAAUGACAAAAGGGGAAGUUUAUAGCCCCCAAAACGCUUUUUUCAUUGUAAUGUAAGAACUACACAAAAUUUGAAAAUUCUGAUAAUUCGUUUUAAUGAAGCAGCCUUUUAAAGUAAUGUGACACAUUUUCAGCUCAAAAGACAAAAAAAAAUUCAAAAUAGAUGUUUCUAAAGAUGAAAAGGUUGAGAAAACUGAUUUUUGAGAAAAACACGGUUAAAUAUUUUUGUAAGCACAAGAAUGGUUGGCUGUCAAUGGUUUUACUUAGUAGUACACGUGCUGAUAGUUAGAGGUACCUAUAGGCAAAACAUCAAUUAAAUCUGAAUUUCUAAGACAUUCUGAAGCAUUUUAAACUGUUUUAUUAUUCAAAUGUCAUCAUGAUCGACAUUUUCCUGCUCAACUUGAAAACAAGAAGUUUUCUUUUUCUACACUACUUCAACAAAACCUCUUUUCUUGCGUUUUAGUUUAGCUUUGGAGCUAUGGCUGAUUUAUCUCCUUUUUUCACUCUUCCUCCAUCUGGUCUGCUGGUUGAUCCAAAGCUACCUGCUUUGUAUGAAACUUUUUUUGCUUUACAUUUCACUUUAUUGAAUUUUAGCUGCUUGGGUUGCUUUCUAUAUUUUAAAGAUAUUUUACAUGCAGUAAUUAAUUCUCAUUUUGUCCUCAUACCUUUACCCUUUUAACAUAUUGCUUCCAAUGUCAAUACCAGCUUUUUUCAUGAUUACUGCCUUACUUGUAGCUUCAGUAUUUUCCCCACAAACUCCUUUACCUUUCUCCUACCACAAAAUGCUGCCCUCAAAAGACGAGCCCAGAGUAAGCCAUUUAGGCUUUCAUUUUGAUUCUGAGUUAGGCCUAGCGAGUAUCUAUUGAGUAAGCCUUGAGUAAGCACUUUGACUAAGCCUUGAAAAAAUGGGACCCAGCUCAGUUAAGAAGACUUUAGGCAGCCUUCCUGAGUCAGUGUACUCUUUGGUACCAUGCUGCUGGUCUUUCCAAUAUUUACACCAAGAGCCUGUAUCUUUUGGCAAAAUCUAUGUUGAAACCAAGUGAGGCAUCAUCUUCUCUUAUAAGGUGGCGUUUUAUUGCCAGAAUUGCUGUAUACAUUUCUUCCAAAUUGCCUUUAUUUUGCCUAAUAGCAAAACCGUGAUAAUGCUGCAUUCUUUUCAUCAUUUCUUUCCUCAACCUGCUAACAACUUUACCCAUUCAAUAUGAUCUGUAGACUACCACAGAAUCUAUUUCAAUGAAUCUUUUCCAAAUAAGACGGAUUUUAUUACUAUGCUGCAUUCAAAUGAUAUCACUGCUCUCUCAAAAAUUCUAAACAGAAGCACUAAUAUUGCAAAACAUCUAGAUCUCAAAUAUGUGCGUCUGGUAUUUGAUGAAGCAAUUUAUUGCAAGAUACAGAUAGUUCCAUGGAAGGAUAAUGCUUUCUGAAUAGAUUUGUUAUCAAGCUUGGUGAAUUUCACAUGGCCAUGUGUUUCCUUGGAGCUAUUUGAAAGAUUUUUAAAGAUUUAGGACUGAAGGUAAAACUUUUUGUUCUAAUUAAAUCUAGUUUUACUCGCAAACUAUCUCCAAAAAAGUGUUACACAUUUUAGGAGGGUGUGUUUUAGGAAAUUAUGUAAGGGCUCCACAGUUCUCAUCUGAUGUAAGCUACUUUAGACAGAUGGAAAAGGCCACUUUUAGAAUAAAUCAACUUGAGAGAAGAGUUUUUUUAAAGAUAAAUAUAUUAUUACAGGCAAUGUCAUAUGCAAAAGAAUAAUUCAGUUUCAAACAAGCUUAUACCCAUCCCCCUCCACAAAAUGACUGCUAUGCUCUUAUAUCAUCAAUUCAUGCUUUUUGUAUGUUUACUUUGAAAGAAAAUCAAAAUUUUUAAAUUUUCACUUCUGUUUUAGGAUAUUUUUAUUGAAUCGGAGGUGGUUUCCAUUGGCUCAUUCAAUGGUGAACUGAAAGGCAAUCAUUACAACAGAAUUGUUCGCUCUCAUAUAGUUGUCUUGGAAGCUUUGCACAGGAAGCAGUUUGAGUCAUAUUUGGAAUCACUAACCCCUGAAUCGCAUCAACAGAUUCUUUUCUUUUUGGUAAAUGCGGCAAUAACAUUUAAAGUUUUGAAAAUUUAUGUAUUUCUCAAAUUGUGGUAUCCGGUGACGGAUCAAUAAUUUGACACACUGGUUCUAUGUGAUAGCUUAUCUGGCCUUCCAUAUCUACUACCGCAGUCGAAGAGGAUGCUACAUCCGAUAAUUCUGUCGCCUCUGUAGUCAAUGGUCUAUCAGAAAUGUUUGCUCCUUUUAUGGGUUGUGGAGGUAAUUUUGUAUUGGUCUUUGAAAAAUACUUUUGAAUCUAAGGAAUCAUGUUCAACUAACAAUAAACUUUCAAAUGGGAAAACUAUGAAAUGAAAAGAACAAAGUGAGAGAAUCAAAUAUGUACAUAGCUUUGUGCAUUGCUUAAAGACAUUCUCACUUUUAUUUUGUAUUUGUACCCCAUAGAGUUUCAUUUUGGCACCUCAUGUUUGUUGCCCACCCCGGUUUUCCAUUUCCUCCGUCUAUUAGGCACCUAAGAGUAAAGGAAUGGGUCUGGGUCCAUGUCAAUAUUUGGCUUCCACGACUUUACAGAAAAUCAAUGUCUGGGGUUCACAAAUAAGAAAAUUAUUUAAAAAAAUCAAACAUGGCGGGAGAUAUUGAAGUAGUUUAAUUGUGUAUAACAUUUGUUUUCAAAGGUUUAUCAAAUGAACUGAAAAAUCAGCAUUUUGGUUGUUUUUUAUGUUUGAAAAUGCUGACAGAGAGGAAAGAGAGAAAAAGGAGUACCCGAAGAGCUACCUAAUGAUCAUGUAGUAGUUUCUCCAGCAACAAGGUUUAAGACUUGUAGUAUCUCCCCUACAUGGCAAGGCCGUAGAAAGAAGAGUUGGAGUCCCCCAUAAUUGUCAACCUGUACUAUAUUUCCUUUAUGGUAGUUUACUAAAGGGGAAGCAAUACAAUAGGCGACCCUCUGAAAUUAAAUUCGUUUUGACGACACUGCCUGUGCUCAUUGUGAAGUCUCUUGUUGCCUUGUUGUGACAGUUCAAUUUUUAUUUUCUAAAUAUCGCACCAGAGUUUUCCUUUGAUAAGCAUAGAAAGUUUUGAUAAAAACCACUCUCUGAAGGGUGUUGAUAACAAAACUGGUACAGGAAUUUGGCACUGCAAAUCCACAUUUAAAGUAUUAUGUGGGUGUGCCCCCAGGUAUUUUGAGGCAUUAUCAAUAACAUAUAUAUUCUGAGGCAUUAUCAAUAACAUAAUAUGACGUUUUUGCAAACAAGACUGGAAUUGUUAAGUGCAAAACUAUGACUAUGGCGCGCAAUAUAUAUGUCAUGUCAUUUUUAUAUAUAUAUGUAUUAUAUUGUGUCAUUUGUUUUUUAGUUAACUUUUUAAUUACCAAAAGAUUGACCUAGAUUAUUUUCUGAUUUUUUUUUGGCAUCGCUUGAGUAAUAAUCAUGCAAAAACGAUUUAUUAGAAGGACAACAGUAGUGCUAACACAUAGUGAAUCCAUACAAAAGCUCAGCUCUUUUCGAAGAAUACACAACAACUUUAGUGGGUGUCAGAAAACCCCAAUUUUUGAAGAAAGUAAGUCGCAAAUGAAAAACCUAAGUUCACCAUCGUUCCCAGUGAUGUUUCUUUGAUGGUUGAAGCGAAUAAAAAUUUAUGUGUCAUUUGCACUUCAACAUACAUUUAACAUCUAACAAAUCGAGGCCCUUUUUUGCUAUUUUCUUGCCCGAUUUUCGAGGCCAAUUCUCCAGGUCAUAUGUGUUUUCUCCUGCAUAAUGUAUUUCGCAUAUAAAUUUAACUGACAUGAUAAAAUAUCAAGCAUAUCUUAAGCUGUGUUUACACGACCCCGGAUAAAUUUUGAACUGGAUAAGAAAUUAUAUGGAUAGGCUUUCCUUUUACAUGGGUACUGGGCUAUCCAUAUGAAAAUGAAUAUCUCUCUAGCUAGACGAUCUCAAAGUUAUACAGCAUGGGCAUCGUGCCUUUAACACAACUACAACUACUUAGAUAUAAAAUAUGAAAAUUUUUGACACUGAAAAAAAUUGUAACACAGCCAACAUUUCUAGAACCUUAUUUUUCUCUUUCUGCGGGUCAUUGAAAGAUAUGGUGUGAUAAAGCUGGUGCAAGGCUGCAAUUUCAGUAAAGAAAUGACAUCGACAGGGAAGCAACAGGUGCAUAAAAUUUCAAAUGUUGUCUGAAAAGUACCUUUUUUCAUUUUUCAAUAUUUUUAAUGCAAAUAUCAAAAAUGUUGACCAUCAUCAUCAGUCAUAUUUUUAAAAGUAUUGGCCAGCCAACAAGUAUUUAGUGUAGCUUUUCAAGGGUGUUUUAUCAAACUGGUAGGGUAAAAUUUUUUUCUGCACAUUCAUUACUUCUAGGACGAGUAUCCAUGUUAGAUUCUCGUUGCUGUUUUGCUUUGUUCCUGAACUUUAUCUUUGUAUUUAAACUCAUCACAAGAUAUAUAUAUAUAUAUAUAUACAUAUGGAUGACACAAAACCCAAAAAAUAUCCCAACAUACAUAGUAUUUAGUAUUUGCCUUGCUAAAUAUUGCCAGGCUUUAAACUGCUUUAAACUGUUCUGUUUGUAUUUUACAUUUAUACUGUUAUUUUUGACAACCGAUAAUUUUUUUUAAUUAUUUGACUAUUAAAAAAAGAAGAGAAUAAAAGAAGAAUAGGAAAAAAUA